UCCUCGAUAGUACAGUGGUUAGUACACCCGCCUGCCAGGUGGGAGGCCGGGGUUCAAAUCCCCGUCGAGGUG
rnacentral:tRNA from 1 species